AACAAGGCGUACCUGCGGACCUGCGGAGGGAUCAUUACGAGAGUGUCACCACUCCCAACCCAUUGUUUACCUACCCGUCCACCGUGCUUCGGCAGGCAGCCCUGUGGGACAGAGCCUCGCCCCCUUUCGCGGGGGGUGCCUGCCGCUUGCCAACCAAAACUCUAGCUGUUUUAGUACCAUCUGAGUCUUCCACAAAUGAACAAAACUUUUAACAACGGAUCUCAGAUCGGAAGAGCACAC
rnacentral:misc_RNA from 1 species